AGCCCCACACCCACCAAGAUAAGACCAAUAGAAAAUAGACUGUCAGUAGGUUGCGGCCCCUUGCACCACGGCGUCCCUUCGUUUUGACUGGUGCAUGGAUGAGGACGGAAGUUCCCAAGAAUUUUCAAAUUCAAGUUGGCUUGUUAGCUUCGAGUGUGUUUGAGUGAAUUCAACUCGCGUUAUGUUCCUCUUCUUUUCCUUCUGCUGCACACGGCACUUAGCUGACCCCAGAGCCCACAAAAUACUGUUGUCUUCUGUGUUCUUUGUUGAUUCGCUCAGCUCAGGAUCGGGUGUUUCUUUGUCUCGACUGUGUAACACAAAACCGGCUUUUGCUCGGAAUAUCAUUCUUUGGAAGUGUAAAAGUGAACCUUAUUCAUUCAGACAAGGACAAAGUUUGAGCCACAAGUAUCUGGGUAAAUAUAGAAGGGCAUUGGCUUCAUCAGGCAGAAAUCAACGUUCAUAAAAGUAACAAUACCUGCCGACACAGGCAGCGCGCAAACGCCAGAAAUCACGUGACCUUCCCUCUAUAAAUAGGACAAUAUGGGUUGUUGUGUUGUCACAAUGAGCUGAGGGGUAUGCAAAUCGCCAGGGUGCAGACAGACUCUGACAUUGCCCCACCUGGGGUCGAUACCUGCAGACUCCGCCAUGACAGCUUUAGUGGGAUGUCAGAAGGUGCAUUUUCUUGAAGAAUAGCUCGGAAAAACGGUUAGCAAUGCGCAGGAAAACCAUCGUGCUGUUAGUCGCCAUCAUCAGUCUUUGUGUAGUUCUGCUACAGUUUGUUGUCAAGAGAAAUAACCUGUUACAGUUUGAAAUCCUCGGGAAGAAUACGCAAGACACAAAGAGUGGGACUCCGCAAACA